rnacentral:rRNA from 1 species
CUCCAGACUCCUACGGGAGGCAGCAGUGGGGAAUUUUGCGCAAUGGGGGAAACCCUGACGCAGCAACGCCGCGUGCGGGACGAAGGCCCUCGGGUUGUAAACCGCUUUCAGCAGGGAAGAUCCAAGACGGUACCUGCAGAAGAAGCUCCGGCUAACUACGUGCCAGCAGCCGCGGUAAUACGUAGGGGGCAAGCGUUAUCCGGAUUCACUGGGUGUAAAGGGAGCGUAGACGGCGACGCAAGUCUGGAGUGAAAGCCCGGGGCCCAACCCCGGGACUGCUCUGGAAACUGCGUCGCUGGAGUACGGGAGGGGCAGGCGGAAUUCCUGGUGUAGCGGUGAAAUGCGUAGAUAUCAGGAGGAACACCGGCGGCGAAGGCGGCCUGCUGGACCGUGACUGACGUUGAGGCUCGAGAGCGUGGGGAGCAAACAGGAUUAGAUACCCCCGUAAGA